rnacentral:pre_miRNA from 1 species
ACCUAGUACCGGACGAGACACUUCAUAGUACAACGAAUCUGGACAGUAAGCCUGUCCAGAUUCGUUGUACUAUGAAGUGUCAUAUCCGGUCCUAAGU